UGUCCAGAUUUAUAAGAGCCACAGAUCCUCAGCACUGGUUUGGCACAAGACUUCCCGAGCAGGACAUGUAAGCCACAAUAUUUGGCCAGUAUCCAGGGCUGCUCACAGCUUUGCUUCUUGUGAGAUUUAACGAAGAUGAUGGUCUUAAAAUGGUUUUACCACAAGAAAACUUCCCCACAAGGAAUACACCUGUUGUCUUCCCCUGAGGCCUCACACUGCCAGUCUGAGGAGUUUACAACUAAAUGAUAUAUCCAGAGGGUUUACCACAGAUCAUGGGGAGACAAUGCAGAGAAGAGCCAAUAUAUAACUCGAAGGAUAGACUGAUGGACUACAAACCACACUAAAUGUAUCCUCACCUAAUGAAAGGUCUUGAGAUGGCCAGGACGGUCCGGAUGAACCACGUUGGCCAGCUGAUGCCGGGCAUCUUCCUACGAGGAGUUGCUCCGUUCAUGUAAACAAUCAUGUAAUCUUCGGCCACCAGCAGCUCCAGGCUGCUCACAACAUACCUGAGGACAGAGCAAACAAGCUCAGAUCUGACUCGGAGGGUAUGGUCUGAUGACCUGCAUGUCAAUCCGCUGCUCCUGGUCUCCGAUGAUCACUGUUCGCCAUAGACGACCGGAUGAGUCUCUCUCCUCUUCCCUUUCACCUGGAAGACGCUUGGCAGUGGCCACAGGAGUGUCAUCUAGACACAAGUUGGCUGCUAAUUUGUGACUGGCCUGCCAAAAGGAGACAGCACCUGAGGCAGGACUCAGACCGAGGACACAGCAGCUCGUUGCCAUUGUUGAUGAACUCCAGCGAGUCUGUCUCAUCAGGAGUCUCGAUGUCAUCUACGUCGAUGUCCAGGUCGUCGGGCGUUUCCAGAAACUCAUCAGAGAGCACCGACCCCUCGCUCUGAUCCAGGGAGAGGUUCAUGUCGGGGGCGACCAGAGUGCGACGCUUACGCUGGGCCAUGGACACGCCCACAUUCAGAGUGGUGGGAGGAUCUGGACAGGCAGGCCAACAAAGUUCAGAUACAGUAUAUCAUAAAAGAAUAUAGUUAAUGAUGUGAAUUUAAUCCACUUACUGGUUCUGUGGUCAGUGAGGCCACAUGAAGAAUCAACAUCUCCAUCCUCUGGCAGUGGCCUGCAGAGAAAGACAUAAAAAUACAGAAAUAAAUACAAUGGCAUGGAAACAGCAUAAAUAAAACAUAAAAUGACAUAUAUAGGAAUUGUAGUUGGCCUAUUAUUUUUCUGCUACCAAGUUAAUGAUUGUGUUGAAUAAGCUUUAACAUUUAACAAUACAUUGCAAUGAUAAAAAAAACAAAAACUAAAUGAAAUGAUGAAAUAAACUAUGAGCAGUCGUUCCUAGCAUUUUCACUCGUAGUCUUUUGUUUUUGGAGUGGCCCUAUUGUUAUUUAACCACAUUGUGUCCUUGGAAACAAUAUGUGUUGUUUGAGAAAGCAACACCAGUAAUAAUCACCAACUCCUCUCUGACAUUAUAAUAAGACAGCUAAACCCUCAGCGCUGGGGCACACACACAUACACACACACACACACACACACACACACGCACGCACCCACGCACCCACGCACGUACGUACGCAUGAAUAGACAAAGACGCCCUACAACCACAAGUACAGGCAAGCUGAUGCAGCUGUAGGGAUAAUUGCUAUUAUUAUGUAGCUUUAGGUAAGUUAAAGACAGCACCAACAGAUACAGAACAAUGGAGAAAAAAAAAAUCAACAUUGCAAAAUCCUUCUACAACGUUCCUUUAUAGGACUCAUGUUUAAACUGUCGACAUUGCCUUAGCCAACUGAGCUACAAGGAUACCAUUGAUAUAUUACUAUAUAUUACAAAUACCUGCAGCAGAUAGAUAUCAAACAUGGACGAUACUAUGUAAAAAACUGUGUAUAAAUAUGUUGUGAAUACGGUGGAUGUCCUUGAAUAAUAAAGUUUCCUCUGCUGUAGAAAUGUU